rnacentral:rRNA from 1 species
AUGCAAGUCGUACGCUUCUUUUUCCACCGGAGCUUGCUCCACCGGAAAAAGAAGAGUGGCGAACGGGUGAGUAACACGUGGGUAACCUGCCCAUCAGAAGGGGAUAACACUUGGAAACAGGUGCUAAUACCGUAUAACAAUCGAAACCGCAUGGUUUUGAUUUGAAAGGCGCUUUCGGGUGUCGCUGAUGGAUGGACCCGCGGUGCAUUAGCUAGUUGGUGAGGUAACGGCUCACCAAGGCCACGAUGCAUAGCCGACCUGAGAGGGUGAUCGGCCACAUUGGGACUGAGACACGGCCCAAACUCCUACGGGAGGCAGCAGUAGGGAAUCUUCGGCAAUGGACGAAAGUCUGACCGAGCAACGCCGCGUGAGUGAAGAAGGUUUUCGGAUCGUAAAACUCUGUUGUUAGAGAAGAACAAGGAUGAGAGUAACUGUUCAUCCCUUGACGGUAUCUAACCAGAAAGCCACGGCUAACUACGUGCCAGCAGCCGCGGUAAUACGUAGGUGGCAAGCGUUGUCCGGAUUUAUUGGGCGUAAAGCGAGCGCAGGCGGUUUCUUAAGUCUGAUGUGAAAGCCCCCGGCUCAACCGGGGAGGGUCAUUGGAAACUGGGAGACUUGAGUGCAGAAGAGGAGAGUGGAAUUCCAUGUGUAGCGGUGAAAUGCGUAGAUAUAUGGAGGAACACCAGUGGCGAAGGCGGCUCUCUGGUCUGUAACUGACGCUGAGGCUCGAAAGCGUGGGGAGCAAACAGGAUUAGAUACCCUGGUAGUCCACGCCGUAAACGAUGAGUGCUAAGUGUUGGAGGGUUUCCGCCCUUCAGUGCUGCAGCUAACGCAUUAAGCACUCCGCCUGGGGAGUACGACCGCAAGGUUGAAACUCAAAGGAAUUGACGGGGGCCCGCACAAGCGGUGGAGCAUGUGGUUUAAUUCGAAGCAACGCGAAGAACCUUACCAGGUCUUGACAUCCUUUGACCACUCUAGAGAUAGAGCUUCCCCUUCGGGGGCAAAGUGACAGGUGGUGCAUGGUUGUCGUCAGCUCGUGUCGUGAGAUGUUGGGUUAAGUCCCGCAACGAGCGCAACCCUUAUUGUUAGUUGCCAUCAUUCAGUUGGGCACUCUAGCAAGACUGCCGGUGACAAACCGGAGGAAGGUGGGGAUGACGUCAAAUCAUCAUGCCCCUUAUGACCUGGGCUACACACGUGCUACAAUGGGAAGUACAACGAGUCGCGAAGUCGCGAGGCUAAGCUAAUCUCUUAAAGCUUCUCUCAGUUCGGAUUGUAGGCUGCAACUCGCCUACAUGAAGCCGGAAUCGCUAGUAAUCGCGGAUCAGCACGCCGCGGUGAAUACGUUCCCGGGCCUUGUACACACCGCCCGUCACACCACGAGAGUUUGUAACACCCGAAGUCGGUGAGGUAACCUUUUGGAGCCAGCCGUGGUUUAAUUCGAAGCAACGCGAAGAACCUUACCAGGUCUUGACAUCCUUUGACCACUCUAGAGAUAGAGCUUCCCCUUCGGGGGCAAAGUGACAGGUGGUGCAUGGU